AGGAGGAAGAAGAAGAAGAAGAGGAGGAGGAAAAGGAGAGGGGCCUGGAACAAAUUUAAUCGUCGUUUAUGGAUUUCCCAACUCGCCACAGCUAAGGACCCUCAAAGCUAAGUCUCAGGGGAUGAUGGGUUGGAAAUUUACCUGGGAGAGUAAUGACUAGGAGGGGUUGGGACAAGCGACUCAGCGUCAUUGGACCUCCCUGUCUCCUUCUCAGAAAAAGGCCGAGAGGGGUGUCUGAGGUUCCUGAGUACCCGCCUGAGGCUGUGGUGGCCGCCCUGCUCAGGCCCCACCCCACUUUGUCCCAUCUCUGGCUCCCCUCGGCCCUUGGCAGACCUGCUGUCUGCUGCCCGGAAUGACUAAGGGCUGACGUGAGGCUCGAUCAGGGGGAGCGUUGCUGCACCGCGGAGCCAGGGAGGAAGCCAGCUGGCUCAGAGUCCACUGCACCGCCAGGAACCACUUGCCCGGGCUUUAUGGGCACUGCCCAGGGGAGCCAAGUUCUGGGAAGGCCCUGCUGCUAGUAUCUGCAGUGGGCUAUGCUCGCCAGGGGCUGGCUGGAGGAGCGCAGACAGGUACUUGUCCCACUGUGCAGGUGCCCUUAUUUACAGAGAAAUCAUCAUUCUGGUCCUGCCCACCCCUCCCCACCUCCCAAGGACAUCAAAGUGACCUCCUCUGAAACGUGCAGGGUGUGGUGGGUAACUGUCACCCAGAGCAAGGAAGAGCCAAGGAUGGGCCCCGGGACAGGUGUGUCUGAAAGGGCAAAGGCCGGUCAGCUGUAGAGCCCGAGACGCCCAGCCAGGGGCUCCUGGAAGGCUCUCCACUCCCUCUAGACGCCUCAAUAGUCACUUGGUACCUGGGCAGCUGCCAACAGAGGCGCUCACAGAUGAUUUCCAACUGGCCACACAGCUUCACCUGCAGAGUGCAUCAACACCCAGAGAUCCCGGAGACCCUCGUCCACAGGCACCAUAGAGACUUGGGAUCCCAGGCUCAGCACACAGCUGCCCCAAGUCUCCCAGGCUCAGCUGUGUGCGUGUCAAGGCCGAUUCUUUAGUCUCCAGUCUCCUGUCUUUCUAGACCUCUGUUUCCUCAUUUAAAACCAGAGAAAAGGGUAUUUUUCAGUACUUAUCAGCAACCAGAGACCUUCAAUUUAUCUUGCAAAAACAGAGUAGUCUGCAUGGCACCUUCUCCAUUAGACUGUAAGCUCCUGGAAGGCAGGGACUUUUGCCUUUCUUUGUAUCCUUAGAACUUAGUCUCGUGGCUGGCAUACAGUAGGUGCUUAAUAAAUGUUGAGCCUCAAAUGUGGUUCAAUGAUUUGGA